rnacentral:lncRNA from 1 species
UUGGAGGAAUCAGUAUCAUCAAAAUGACCAUACUGCCCAAAGCAAUCUACAGAUUCAGUGCAAUUGUUAUCAAAUUACCAACAUUAUUCUUCACAGGUUUAGAAAAAACAAUCCUAAAAAUUACUCUAAAAGACUAUAGUAACGCAAACAGCACAGUACUGGUAUAGAAAUAGACAUAUAAAUCAGUAGAAAAGAAUAGAGAACUCAGAAACAUAGCCAAAUACCUACAAUCAACUGAUUCUUGACAAAAAUAUGCACUGGUGAAAGGACUCCCUAUUCAAUAAAUGGUACUGGGAAAACUGGAAUGUCAUAUGCAGAAGAAUGAAAUCUCUCACCAUGUACAAAAAUUAACUCAAGAUGGAUUUAAGGCUUAAAUGUAAGACCUGAAACUAUAAAAUUACUAGA